ACUCCUACGGGAGGCAGCAGUGGGGAAUAUUGGACAAUGGGNGCAANCCUGAUCCAGCCAUGCCGCGUGUGUGAAGAAGGCCUUCGGGUUGUAAAGCACUUUUGUUNGGGAAGAAANCGNNCGGGUUAAUACCCUGNNUGNAUGACGGUACCNAAAGAAUAAGCACCGGCUAACUUCGUGCCAGCAGCCGCGGUAAUACGAAGGGUGCAAGCGUUANUCGGAAUUACUGGGCGUAAAGCGUGCGUAGGCGGUUUGUUAAGUCUGCUGUGAAAGCCCUGGGCUCAACCUGGGAACUGCAGUGGAUACUGGCGAGCUAGAGUGUGUCAGAGGAUGGUGGAAUUCCCGGUGUAGCGGUGAAAUGCGUAGAGAUCGGGAGGAACACCAGUGGCGAAGGCGGCCAUCUGGGACAACACUGACGCUGAGGCACGAAAGCGUGGGGAGCAAACAGGAUUAGAUACCCUGGUAGUC
rnacentral:rRNA from 1 species